GGGGGUAGCGGGAGGCCGCGGCUGGUGGUCUGUGCAGCGGCCGCUGUGGCCUGGGGGAGCGCGGGGCGCCAGCUCUGGCCUCCUGCAGUCCUGGUGCCCUGUGCCGCCCAGCCCCGCGCCUCGCCCAGCAGGUGCACCUCGUGCUAUCUCCCCAGUGGAGGAGGCAGGCCGGCCUGAGCUGAGCUGUUUGCACCACCGCCCCGUUUGGGGUGCAUUUGGGGGUAUGCAGAGGCUUCUCUGGACCCUAAGUUUUGCCCUUGAGGAGACACGCGAGGAGAGGAGCUCCGCUGGGCGGGUGGAGCGCGGCCCUGCUGGAAGAACCUUCCCGCGUUGGCACCACUGAGCACUGUGAGGUCCCAACGUCAGGGACUCCCCACGGGCGAGAUGGGAGGGCGACGAAGAGCGUGAAUUCAGUUCAAGAAACACACACACACACACUGAUGCGUGAAAGCAAGAACACACUAGAAACUACCCGUGAAAUUUUCAGAAAAAUGUGUGUAGGUGUGGGCAGGUUAACAUGUAAAUAGAGUGACUCCUGCUUCGGGAGACUCUGCAGACCCCUGGCUUGUAAACGUCGUGAAAGAAGGAUCUACCCACAAUCCACUUUGAAUCUCGCACAAAGACUAGCACAUCACUUUGUAUAAAGCAGAAGAAAUGGGCAUUGCAACCGCCAAUCGUAAAACCGAGCUGGCGGAUUGAGAAAACGGGACAGGGUCGUUCACACUGGCGGUGUCUCUGCUCUAACAGCUAGUCAUCCGCGGCCAU